rnacentral:rRNA from 1 species
AUGUUCGUCAUGCUUAACAGAGGGACGCCCGUGAGAUCUCCUGGUGGUGUUCGGACGCGGCCGCCAGAGUUGUGGCCUUGGCUGCGGCCAUGGGCAGUUGUUGGAGACAAGCGAGGUCGGGCUUGGUUCGUCGGAUCUGUGAGUGGAGAAGCUUGCAUUGUAGCAGGCCGUGUCUACCUACAAGACGGCCAUCGACAAUCAAUUCCUGAAGAAGUUAGCAGUCUGUGCAGUAUGCUAUGGAUCAUCGUGUCCAUCAAGAGCAAUCCCUAUUGUUUGUGGUACAUAUAUUCAUCUCUGUUGAAUCUGGAACUUGGUAACUAA